UACGGAGGGUGCGAGCGUUGUCCGGAAUCACUGGGCGUAAAGGGCGCGUAGGCGGCCUGAUAAGUAGGGGGUGAAAUCCUGCGGCUUAACCGCAGGGCUGCCUUCUAAACUGUCAGGCUCGAGCACAGUAGAGGCAGGUGGAAUUCCAGGUGUAGCGGUGAAAUGCGCAGAUAUCAGGAGGAACACCGGUGGCGAAGGCGGGUCUCUGGGCCGAUACUGACGCUGAGGAGCGAAAGCGUGGGGAGCGAACAGG
rnacentral:rRNA from 1 species